AGGAUAAACGCUGGCGGCGUGCUUCAGGCAUGCAAGUCGAACGGACCUUCGGGUCAGUGGCGGACGGGUGAGUAACACGUAAGUAACCUGCCCAGAAGUGGGGAAUAACUGGCCGAAAGGCUGGCUAAUACCGCAUGUGAUGGCUCGUCCCUGGAGGGGUCAUUAAAGGAUUUAUUCGCUUCUGGAGGGGCUUGCGGUCGAUUAGCUUGUUGGUGGGGUAAUGGCCUACCAAGGCGACGAUCGAUAGCUGGUCUGAGAGGACGGUCAGCCACACGGGGACUGAGAUACGGCCCCGACUCCUACGGGAGCAGCAGCUAGGAAUCGUUGGGAAUGGGCGAAAGCCUGACCCAGCAACGCGCGUGGGCGAUGAAGGCCUUCGGGUCGUAAAGCCCUUUUUAGGAGGGGACGAGUAAAGUGACGGUACCCUGCGAAUAACGCCAACGGCCUAACUACGUGCCAGCAGCCGAC
rnacentral:rRNA from 1 species